UGCCAGCCGCCGCGGUAAGACGGACGGUCCUAGCGUUGUUCGGAAUGACUGGGCGUAAAGGGUACGUAGGCGGUUUGGUCAGUUAGAUGUGAAAGCCCAGGGCUCAACCUUGGAACUGCAUUUAAUACUGCCAGACUUGAGAUUGGAAGAGGAAAGCGGAAUUUCUAGUGUAGAGGUGAAAUUCGUAGAUAUUAGAAGGAACAUCAGAGGCGAAGGCGGCGAUCUGGGUCGAUACUGACGCUGAGGUGCGAAAGCGUGGGGAGCAAACAGGAUUAGAUA
rnacentral:rRNA from 1 species